AUCUACGGCCCAAAGGGUAGUUAAAGACAUAAUAAAAUAGAAUUUAAAAUUUAUUUAAUAGUUAAAUAUAAACAUGAAAUGUAAAUUCAAAAACGAAAGUUAUACUAUAUAUUCUUGAAUCUACUACAGUUGAGAAACAAACUAGGAUUAGAUACCCCACUAUGCUCAACUUUAAAUGGACCUUCCGCCAGAGCACUACGAGCUAUAGCUUAAAAUUCAAAGGACUUGGCGGUGCUCUACACCCACCUAGAGGAGCCUGUUCUAUAAUUGACACCCCCCGAUAAACCUCACCAUCUCUUGCUAUUACAGCCUAUAUACCACCGUCCUCAGUUUACCUCUUAAAAGAAUAACAGUGAACAAAAUAAUUUAAAAUAAAAAAGUCAGGUCAAGGUGCAGCAAAUGAAAUGGGAAGAAAUGGGCUACAUUUUUUAUUAUAAAAAAUACGGAAUAUUUUAUGAAACAAAAUAUGAAGGAGGAUUUAGAAGUAAAAAGAAAAAAGAGUGUUCUUUUUAAAUUGGCAAUAGAGCACGCACACACCGCCCGUCAUCCUCUUCAAAAAUAAAAUAAAUUAAAUAAAUAUAUAAAUUUUAUAAGAAAAGGCAAGUCGUAACAUGGUAAGUCUACCGGAAGGUGGUCUUGGAUAU
rnacentral:rRNA from 1 species